GUGGGGAAUAUUGGACAAUGGGCGCAAGCCUGAUCCAGCAAUGCCGCGUGGGUGAAGAAGGUCUUCGGAUCGUAAAGCCCUUUCGACAGGGACGAUGAUGACGGUACCUGUAGAAGAAGCCCCGGCUAACUUCGUGCCAGCAGCCGCGGUAAUACGAAGGGGGCUAGCGUUACUCGGAAUUACUGGGCGUAAAGGGCGCGUAGGCGGCUCUGUUAGUCAGGCGGGAAAUUCCUGGGCUUAACCUGGGGACUGCGCUUGAUACUGCAGGGCUUGAGGCCGAGAGAGGGUGGUGGAAUUCCCAGUGUAGAGGUGAAAUUCGUAGAUAUUGGGAAGAACACCGGUGGCGAAGGCGACCACCUGGCUCGGUUCUGACGCUGAGGCGCGACAGCGUGGGGAGCAAACAGGAUUAGAUACCCCGGUAGUCC
rnacentral:rRNA from 1 species